rnacentral:lncRNA from 1 species
UUCUGUGUAGACAUUACUCUAAUCUGCCAAUUAUUAUCAUAAAACAAACCAAUCUACCAAUUUGAACUGUCAUGUCUAUGAAGAUAUGUAGACAUUUACGAAAGUCUACCGUAUGUUCAUAGACAAAAUAUAAGUCCACCGGUUUGGGAGUUGUUGUCUACCAUAAUAUGUAGCCACCCUACUCUCUCAUAGCCUAUAUAUAUGUCCUCCAUGUUGUCAUUUGAAGUCUACUAUAAACAUCUAGACUUUACAGCAACCUGUCAACUAUUAGUGG